GGAUGUGAGGGAAAUUUGGCUAUGACAUCUGUUACCCCAUUUAUCACCAGGGUUGAUUGGGCUGAUCUAUCUGGCUAGGUGGAUAUCCACUUCCUUCCUCACUGCUCCAUUUGCGUUCCCCCGAAGCUGCACAGUAGGUCGAAGAGGACAACCUUCACAGAUAGAGGAGGACCUACGUAUCUUUGGUCAAGGGUAUAUGUGGUGUAGGAGUUCCUUCUUUUUGUGUGUUAUUUUCAUUGGUUAAUGAAUAAAGAAAUUGCCUUGGCCUAGUU
rnacentral:sRNA from 1 species